rnacentral:rRNA from 1 species
GACAGAGGGGGCAAGCGUUGCUCGGAAUUACUGGGUGUAAAGGGUUCGUAGGCGGUGCGGCAAGUCGGGAGUGAAAUCUCUGGGCUUAACCCAGAGGCUGCUUCCGAAACUGCUGUGCUUGAGUGUGGGAGAGGCGCGUGGAAUUGCAGGUGUAGCGGUGAAAUGCGUAGAUAUCUGCAGGAACACCCGUGGCGAAAGCGGCGCGCUGGACCACUACUGACGCUGAGGAACGAAAGCUAGGGGAGCAAACAGG